AAUCAACGCUGGCGGCGUGCCUCAGACAUGCAAGUCGAACGAUUAAAGCUCUCUUCGGAGAGUGCAUAGAGUGGCGCACGGGUGAGUAACACGUAAGUAAUCUACCUUCGAGUGGGGAAUAACGUCCGGAAACGGACGCUAAUACCGCAUAAUGCAGCGGCAUCGUAAGAUGACAGUUGUUAAAGAUUUAUCGCUUGAAGAGGAGCUUGCGGCAGAUUAGCUAGUUGGUAAGGUAAUGGCUUACCAAGGCUACGAUCUGUAACCGGUCUUAGAGGACGGUCGGUCACACUGACACUGAAUAACGGGUCAGACUCCUACGGGAGGCAGCAGUCGGGAAUUUUGGGCAAUGGGCGAAAGCCUGACCCAGCAACGCCGCGUGAAGGAUGAAGUAUUUCGGUAUGUAAACUUCGAAAGAAUAGGAAGAAUAAAUGACGGUACUAUUAUAAGGUCCGGCUAACUACGUG
rnacentral:rRNA from 1 species